AGAGUUUGAUCCUGGCUCAGGAUGAACGCUAGCGGCGUGCCUAAUGCAUGCAAGUCGAACGGGAUCCCAUAGAUUCGUCUAAGGGUGAGAGUGGCGAACGGGUGAGUAACACGUUGGUGACCUGCCCCAGAGAGGGGGACAACCAGUGGAAACGCUGGCUAAUACCCCGGAUGUCAAGGUUUUUAGAAACCCUUGACUGAAGCUCCGGCGCUCUGGGAGGGGCCUGCGGUCCAUCAGCUUGUUGGUAGGGUAACGGCCUACCAAGGCGAAGACGGAUAGGGGGCGUGAGAGCGUGACCCCCCACACUGGUACUGACACACGGACCAGAUACCUGCGGGUAGCAGCAGCAAGGAAUAUUGCCCAAUGGACGAAAGUCUGAGGCAGCAACGCCGCGUGAAGGAAGAAGGCUUUCGUGUUGUAAACUUCUUUUUUGGGGGAAGAGAAAGGACGGUACCCCAAGAAUAAGAUCCGGCUAACUACAUGCCAGCAGCCGCGGUAAAACGUAGGGAUCGAGCGUUAUCCGGAUUUACUGGGCGUAAAGCGCGUGCAGGCGGUUUUCUAAGUCGGACGUGAAAGCUCCUGGCCCAACUGGGAGAGGCCGUUCGAAACUGGAAGACUUGAGGAUGGUAGAGGUAAGUGGAAUUCCCGGUGUAGUGUGAAAUGCGUAGAUAUCGGGAGGAACACCAGUGGCGAAGGCGGCUUACUGGGCCAUUCCUGACGCUGAGACGCGAAAGCUAGGGGAGAGAACGGGAUUAGAAACCCCGGUAUUCCUAGCCGUAAACGAUGUCAACUAGGUGUAGGGGGUAUCCAACCCCCCUGUGCUGUAGCUAACGCGUUAAGUUGACCGCCUGGGGACUACGGCCGCAAGGCUAAAACUCAAAGGAAUUGACGGGGACCCGCACAAGCAGCGGAGCGUGUGGUUUAAUUCGAGACUACGCGAAGAACCUUACCAGGGUUUGACAUGUACGUGGUAGGAAGGUGAAAGCCGACUGACCCUUCGGGGAGCGUACACAGGUGCUGCAUGGCUGUCGUCAGCUCGUGCCGUGAGGUGUUAGGUUAAGUCCUGUAACGAGCGCAACCCUCGUCGUUAGUUAUACGUGUCUAACGAGACUGCCGGUGAUAAGCCGGAGGAAGGUGGGGAUGACGUCAAGUCAGCAUGGCCUUUAUAUCCUGGGCUACACACACGCUACAAUGGCCGGUACAAUGGGUAGCCAAGCCGCGAGGCGGAGCCAAUCCUUCAAAGCCGGUCUCAGUUCGGAUUGUAGGCUGCAACUCGCCUGCAUGAAGUCGGAGUUGCUAGUAAACGCGCGUCAGCAACAGUGCAUUGAAUACGUUCCCGGGUCUUGUACACACCGCCCGCCACGUCAUGGAAGUUGGCAACGCCUGAAGUCAGUGAGCUAACCCUAACGGGAGGCAGCUGCCCAAGGCGGGGUCGGUAACUGGGACGAAGUCGUAACAAGGUA
rnacentral:rRNA from 1 species